rnacentral:rRNA from 1 species
ACUACUAUGUAGAGUUUGAUCAUGGCUCAGGACGAACGCUGGCGGCGUGCUUAACACAUGCAAGUCGAACGGUGAAGCCCUUCGGGGUGGAUCAGUGGCGAACGGGUGAGUAACACGUGGGCAAUCUGCCCUGCACUCUGGGACAAGCCCUGGAAACGGGGUCUAAUACCGGAUAUGACCGACUUCCGCAUGGGGGUUGGUGUAAAGCUCCGGCGGUGCAGGAUGAGCCCGCGGCCUAUCAGCUUGUUGGUGGGGCAAUGGCCUACCAAGGCGACGACGGGUAGCCGGCCUGAGAGGGCGACCGGCCACACUGGGACUGAGACACGGCCCAGACUCCUACGGGAGGCAGCAGUGGGGAAUAUUGCACAAUGGGCGAAAGCCUGAUGCAGCGACGCCGCGUGAGGGAUGACGGCCUUCGGGUUGUAAACCUCUUUCAGCAGGGAAGAAGCGCAGUGNAGCGACCUGCAGAAGAAGCACCGGCUAACUACGUGCCAGCAGCCGCGGUAAU